GCAGCCUGAGGAGAAAUGCCGAGAGGCAAAGCCCGCACACCUGUGGUGGUGGCAGGAGGACCCUUCCCACCCAGGAGUUCCCAGUUGCCGGAGAGCAUCACCUUGCCGCCACUUUUUUUUUCCCCCUCACACCUGAGAGGGGUUGAAGUGCAGUGGGUUCCUCAGAUACCAGUUGGGAUAUAUAAUGAAGACGGAAACCACAUGGGAUGAGAUGCUGAUCCAUUGCAGUGGAUAUAUCAAAGGAGAGAGAAUGGCUCUGGACCAGAUGCCUCUGCUGAUGUAGACAAUAGUAAUCUCCCACCAUAGAUGCCAUCCUGAGCAGGAGGCAGGUCCUUCAGGAGGUAUUCCAGAAGAAGACACUGUUAUCAUAGGAUGUGACAGCCCCAUGCAUAUUACUGCCCCUGAAGACUUUCUAGCCGGAGAACGUGUGGAGGUGGAAGACAGUGAUAUUGAUGAUCUUGACCCUGUGUAGGCUUAUGCUAAUGACAAGGUCAGAAACACUGGGAUUGUGGAGAGGGAGCAGGCAACACCUCCUCCUACUAAUCCAAGAAGAAAAAGUAGAGCAUAAACAUCGAAGGAGGUUUCCUGUCACCAUCACUGCAAGGGAAUCAGAGGCAGUCCACUUGGGAUCAUUUCUGUAAAAGUGCAGCACUGCAAACCUGGAACAACACCCUGGGUCCUACGGGAAGGGGCACGGGUGAUGCUGGAAGUGCUCCCGGGAAGCAGGGAAAAAAAUCACGACAUUACAAAAAAGUUGAACGCCUCGAUACGUACAGCAGAGCGAUGUCUGUGGCUGCCGUUGCCCAUGUUUCAGACAGAGGACUCGUCUCGUAAACAGACAUCAUACACUUCACCCAGUGGUAUCACGGUAUCAGUAAAUGCAGUCCAGUACUGUACAUGUACUUCACCUUCCUUAUGGUUUUCUUAAUAACCUUCUCUUAUUGCAAGAGGAUAGUGUACAAAACAUAAAACAUAUCACAUAUGUGUUCAUCAACUGUCACGCCAUCGGUAAGGCAAUUAUUAAGAGUAGGCUAUUAAUAGUUACGUUCAGGGGAGUCAAAAGUUAUACCCAGGUUGUAAGCUCAGUGAGGGGUGGGCACCUCUAACCCCUUCCUUGUCCAAGGUUCAACUGCAUGAAUAACAGGAUAGUACUAAGAAGUGUUUGACAUCAGGCUCUUUGGAAAAAGGGGGGAAAACAAAUGCCCUGACUUUUAGCAUUAACAUUUAGCAUUUUCCAUGACAUAAUACUUGCACGAUGAACGGUUUCAAGCUACUGUCCUAAAGUGACUGAAUAUGGACUUGGUAAGAGACGUGCACAAUUACCGUCUCUCCUGACUAUUCACGCUGGCUUUCUUAUAUCCUGAUCAGUACCCUUGGCCUCUUAACUGAGGUCUGGAUUUCACCGUGCUCUUAUUGAGCUGAUAGGAUGAGGGUAAACCCUGGCCAUCCUUGUGUAUUAGAUGUUACAAUAUCUCUUCCUAUUGUAUGCCACUUUUGCCAAAUCAAAACGAGAAGGCUACUGUCUGGCUUCUCCUUUCUUAUUCAGGGUUGACUGGCAGACAGAAUCCUAUAGUGCAUUACGGCCUAGUUUUCUAGAAACCUGAAACUUGCUCUUGAUUGCCCUUUCCCCUUUGGAGCUGGAUUCUACGCCUUCCACCUUCAAUUACUCUUCUGUCUUCCUGUAAACAGAGCAGCUUCCCAGAGCGUUCAUUCUUCCCCUCGCCCUGUCUUCAAGAAUUGAUUUUCACCAAUCCUUAUUCCAUCGUGCCUCUCUCUCAC